rnacentral:rRNA from 1 species
GCAAGUCGAACGGAAACAUGUCUAGCUUGCUAGAUGAUGUCGAGUGGCGGACGGGUGAGUAAUGCUUGGGAACUUGCCUUUGCGAGGGGGAUAACAGUUGGAAACGACUGCUAAUACCGCAUAAUGUCUUCGGACCAAACGGGGCUUCGGCUCCGGCGCAGAGAGAGGCCCAAGUGAGAUUAGCUAGUUGGUGAGGUAAAGGCUCACCAAGGCGACGAUCUCUAGCUGUUCUGAGAGGAAGAUCAGCCACACUGGGACUGAGACACGGCCCAGACUCCUACGGGAGGCAGCAGUGGGGAAUAUUGCACAAUGGGGGAAACCCUGAUGCAGCCAUGCCGCGUGUGUGAAGAAGGCCUUCGGGUUGUAAAGCACUUUCAGUUGUGAGGAAAGGGUAAUGGUUAAUACCCAUUAUCUGUGACGUUAGCAACAGAAGAAGGACCGGCUAACUCCGUGCCAGCAGCCGCGGUAAUACGGAGGGUCCGAGCGUUAAUCGGAAUUACUGGGCGUAAAGCGCACGCAGGCGGUUUGUUAAGUUAGAUGUGAAAGCCCCGGGCUCAACCUGGGAACUGCAUUUAAAACUGGCAGGCUAGAGUCUUGGAGAGGGGAGUGGAAUUCCAGGUGUAGCGGUGAAAUGCGUAGAUAUCUGGAGGAACAUCAGUGGCGAAGGCGACUCCCUGGCCAAAGACUGACGCUCAUGUGCGAAAGUGUGGGUAGCGAACAGGAUUAGAUACCCUGGUAGUCCACACCGUAAACGAUGUCUACUAGCUGUUUGUGGAUUUAAUCCGUGAGUAGCGCAGCUAACGCGAUAAGUAGACCGCCUGGGGAGUACGGCCGCAAGGUUAAAACUCAAAUGAAUUGACGGGGGCCCGCACAAGCGGUGGAGCAUGUGGUUGCGUUCGAAGAACGCGAAGACCUUACCUACACUUGACAUGCAGAGACUUUCCAGAGAUAGAUUGGUGCUCGGGACUCUGACACAGGUGCUGCAUGGCUGUCGUCAGCUCGUGUCGUGAGAUGUGGGUAGUCCCGCACGAGCGCAUCCUUGUUCUUAGAUGCAGCUUAAGUGGGCACUCUAGAGACUGGCGGUGACAACCGAGAAGUGACGACGUCAGUCAUCUGGCCUUACUGUAGGCUACCACCGGCUCAUGGCGUUCCAAGGAAGCGGACGGGGUGUGGGGGGGACCAUAAAGUGCGAUCCGGAAUGAAGUUGGACUGCACUCUCUGAAAUCGGAUCCCAGCAAUACG